GCCGUUAGCUCAGUUGGUAGAGCAGUUGACUUUUAAUCAAUUGGUCGCAGGUUCGAAUCCUGCACGACCCACCA
rnacentral:tRNA from 1 species